UAUCACAAUACCUCUGUUAUUUUGCUUUUCAUGCAUGACUUAAAUUUCAAAAUGCUCAGCAAUAUUAAACUUCAUAUACUUGAGUUACAAAAUUUACUUAGUAAGACAGCUUCAAUCUUACGAAGUUCACAGUGCAGUGAUUGAAGAGAAGUGAGGAUAAACAACAAGCCUAAGAAAUGUCUACAACAAACAUAUGGCCUAAGAUACUUUAAUCCUAUAUGUAGGAUUUUACAUAUUCAAGCAAGAGAAUCCCCAGCUUGUGCCCUGCACUUGCCUUUGAACUCUUCUAUGAUGUAUUUAAAGGUAAUAGUUAGUACUCCAUCUUUUCUGUAUCAAUAGCAUAUUGCUAGUUGCGACUUUUGCAUUUUUCCAUGGCUCUUGGUGCUGCAGGAAUCAAACAUAAGUAGAUAAGUACACUUCAAGAUUCAAUAUAUAUAUAUAUGUACAUCAUUUUGUAUCAUUAUGCAGUUGAGUUAUAUCAUGACUGAUGAGGUUUUCAAUGUUAAGACAAGAUAUAAAAGAAAGCACAUAGUUGUAUGAAUCAGUCUCACCUAGUCCAAUUGCUUCAGAACUUUUCAUUAUCCUCAACCUCUUGCAUGAGUCAGUGAACAUCCUAAACAACAACAACAUCAUUUCUCAUGUUGUCCUUUGUUUUGAUUCUGAUAUUAUUAAGAUGAUCAAAUAAAUGUAUUUGCAGAAAAACACAGUUUAACAGAUGUUUACUAUGCAGAGUAAUGCUUUUUUAAGUCUAAACACCAAAUAGAAAUCAAAUCAGAAUAAUGCAAAACAGAGACAUGAUAUGCACUCACUCCCA
rnacentral:lncRNA from 1 species